rnacentral:rRNA from 1 species
UACGGGGGGGGCAAGCGUUGUUCGGAAUUACUGGGCGUAAAGGGCUCGUAGGCGGCCAACUAAGUCAGACGUGAAAUCCCUCGGCUUAACCGGGGAACUGCGUCUGAUACUGGAUGGCUUGAGUUUGGGAGAGGGAUGCGGAAUUCCAGGUGUAGCGGUGAAAUGCGUAGAUAUCUGGAGGAACACCGGUGGCGAAGGCGGCAUCCUGGACCAAUACUGACGCUGAAGCGCGAAAGCCAGGGGAGCAAACGGG